GUGGCCAUCCUAGCCUAUUGCGGUUGGCGCUUCACGCGAGUUUCAGUCCACUUUUGCGCGGACUCCUUUCCUCAAUUAGGUUAAACGCACAAAACGCACUUUACAAAUCCGCCGCUCCUCCUUUUCUCCUUCGUCUACCUUGCAACCCUAAAUAGCAGCCACAGCUAGGCAGAAUUCCAACAAAAAAUUCUUUCAAAUGCCUCCACGCCGCAACUCCAGCCCACUUAUACCCUCUCCUCUAAAAAGAGGUUGUCAAUCCCCUCUCUCUUCUCCGAUCAACUGCAAAGCUGAAGUUUCCCCGAUUCUUCCUAAAUUUUAGAAAAUUUUUGGGUAAUUCUUCUCCAUUUCCGCAGAAAGAAACAAAAUCGAAAUUAUUCCAAUGCCCGGCAUUGAAUUCACUCUCCAGGACUGCAAAAUCUGUGGCUCUUUUAUCUGCCCACAGAUUUGCUUUUAGUUGCCAAAAUGCCCUACCUUCAACAGAUCGAUAUAGCUUCACAGUUUUCUGUAUAUAUCUCUAGGGUUUUUAGGAAUUUCAGUUUCAGAGAAUCAACGACCGCCGCAGCAGCAACAGUCUUCCUACCCUAUGUUUUCUUGUUCAUUGCUACUUGUUAAUUAUCUAGAUUUAGUUCCCAAUUCCCCUGUGAAGUUAAAGAAGUUGGACCUGAUGCCAAGAGGUUUCAGUUUAGAGAUUAUGAUGUCCAUAUCUUGACCUGCUGCCUCUUUUCUACAAGCAGUGCUUGAGCAUAUGGCUGCACUUGGUGGUGGUGUGCAUAUAAUUUGGACAAGUCAAUUAGGGAGUUUAGAAAUUGCUGGUGGAAAAGGGAGACGUGAUGUCUAAGUAGGUUCAAUGAGAGCUUCUUUACCUACCUGAAGAAUAAUCUCAAAGCUAAAGGUCAUGGAUGGUCAGUUCUGAAGCUGAUUAUGGGUUAUGUGAUUUACUGUGUUUGGGUGAGACGUGGUGGAAGAAAAGGGCGUGUUCCUAAGGGCAUUGUGUGUGGAGAACCCAUAAACUAGGGUGUUGCUGAAAUUUCAGCACAGCAAGUGCUCAGUGGUAGAGGAGCAGGCUGGUUGGAAACUGCGAGGUCUCAGGGUUCUUAACACUUAUUGGAUUCAUGAGGGGAUGUAUAUGGUUUUGACCUUCAACAUGUGCAAUAAGCCAUGGCGACAUAGGUACAAGCAUAUGACUGGGAAUGCUAAAAGGCAGUCUACAUUCAAGGAUGGUGGGGGUGGUAAGCUGAGGUGUGUACUUUGCCCAGGUGAAGCCUUUUCUUGAUUCUAUUACUUACACUGAGAAUGACUUAAGAUACAGGUUGUUUAACUCUUCAUGUUCUCGCUCUAUUUAGGUAAGAGUGCAAUUGAUUAUUGUGACAAGUUUGUAAGCAAGUUUGUUUGGAUAAAACACUUGCAUCCAUUGAAGGCAAUUUUGCCAAAGUGAUUGGAUGUCCUGUUGAUCUGUUGCCUAUAUUGUGAUUGGCUCAGCUGCACUUAUGUUGGUUGGUGACUUUUUGUUAAACACCUGUCCACUAGGAGCCUCCAUCAAAUUAAUUACAUCGAUACUCUAGGUUCCAAUACCUACAGAUUGCGACAUUGUUAUUUUUCUAAUUUGAAUUAUUGAUUUUCUCCUCUUUCAAGAUAGAUAUUUAUCUUUUCAUGUGUAAAGUUCUUUUUUGAUGCAUGUUCUGUCAUCUACAUUAGGCAUUUCCCACAUUGAGAAUGACUUAAGAUAUAGGUUGGUAGACUCUUCAUAUUUUAGCUCUAAUACUACUUAGGUUAGAGUGGGCAAUUGAUUAUUUUGACAAGUUUAAAAGUUCCUUCGUGUGAACGAACAACCGUACCCAUGGAAGGCAACUUUGCCGAGGUGAUCGAUUUCCUUUUGAUUUCCUC